GGGCAUGUGGCGGAACUGGCAGACGCGCUAGCCUUAGGAGCUAGUAGGGAAACCUGUGGGGGUUCAAAUCCCCCCGUGCCCA
rnacentral:tRNA from 1 species